rnacentral:rRNA from 1 species
CGCAUCUGUGCAUGCAGCAUAUCAAUAAGCGGAGGAAAAGAAACUAACAAGGAUUCCCUUAGUAACGGCGAGUGAAGCGGGAAGAGCUCAAAUUUGAAAUCUUCAAGGUUUUACCUUGACGAAUUGUAGUUUAAAGAAGUGUUUUCUGUUGAAGUUUUGGUAAAAGUUCUUUGGAAUAGGACAUCAUAGAGGGUGAAAAUCCCGUAUUUGACCAUUAUUUUCAGCUGUGUGAUACACUUUCAAAGAGUCGGAUUGUUUGGGAAUGCAGUCCAAAAUGGGUGGUAAAUUUCAUCUAAAGCUAAAUAUUGGCGAGAGACCGAUAGCGAACAAGUACCGUGAGGGAAAGAUGAAAAGAACUUUGAAAAGAGAGUUAAACAGUACGUGAAAUUGUCAAAAGGGAAGCGUUUGACACCAGUGUUGUUUUCUCGAAAAUCAAUUAAAAAGAGUUUGAUUUUGUUGUGUAUUGACCUUAACAGCUUGCAUUUCAAUUUUCUUGCUUUUUUUAAUGCACUUUUCGUUUAACAAGUCAACAUCAGUUUCUUUUGUUGUAGAAAGGUCAUUGGAAGGUGGCUUUCUUUUCGGAGAAAGUGUUUAUAGCCUUUGACUCCUGCAAUCGGAGAGACUGAGGUCUGCAGCGUAGAUCCUUCGGGGUUAGAUACAUUUGUGCUAAGCUAUCAGCUUUUUCAUAGACAACUUGUUGACUAUGAUUUAGUCUUGUAGCUUACUCGCUUAUGCUAUUUUACCUACGCUUAAGAUGUUGACGCGCGUGUGUGCGUG